rnacentral:ncRNA from 1 species
AUUAAUACGAAGAAGGGGACAGUAACCCUACAAAGCAGGUUAAAGAGAGGAAUGCCGGGGCUGUAAGCAUUCUGCCUGUUGUCAGGUGAAGACCACCCUGGAGUGCCGGACGGAAACAGCAGGAGUAUGAACGGCCGUUGCCCCCGCGUUAAGGGGGACUGGAGAAAAAUGGAGUCCAAGAGAAUUGGCUUUUCAUUUUAUUUGGGUGGAACCACGGGAAUGCAGCUCUCGUCCCAUAA